CGGGAUGCCUUAGCAUGCAAGUCGAACGGCAGCGGGAAAGUAGCUUGCUACUUUUGCCGGCGAGUGGCGAACGGGUGAGUAAUGUAUCGGAACGUGCCCAGUAGCGGGGGAUAACUACGCGAAAGCGUGGCUAAUACCGCAUACGCCCUACGGGGGAAAGGGGGGGAUCUUAGGACCUCUCACUAUUGGAGCGGCCGAUAUCGGAUUAGCUAGUUGGUGGGGUAAAGGCCUACCAAGGCGACGAUCCGUAGCUGGUUUGAGAGGACGACCAGCCACACUGGGACUGAGACACGGCCCAGACUCCUACGGGAGGCAGCAGUGGGGAAUUUUGGACAAUGGGGGAAACCCUGAUCCAGCCAUCCCGCGUGUGCGAUGAAGGCCUUCGGGUUGUAAAGCACUUUUGUCAGGGAAGAAAAGGUUUCGGAUAAUACCCGGAACUGAUGACGGUACCUGAAGAAUAAGCACCGGCUAACUACGUGCCA
rnacentral:rRNA from 1 species